rnacentral:rRNA from 1 species
AUUGAACGCUGGCGGCAUGCCUAACACAUGCAAGUCGAGCGAGCGGCGGACGGGUGAGUAAUGUAGGGGGACUGCCCGAUAGAGGGGGAUAACUACGGGAAACGUUGGCUAAUACCGCAUACUAUCGGAUAACCCAUAUGGGAUUAGCUAGUGGGUGGGGUAAAGGCGCACCAAGGCGACGAUCUCUAGCUGGUCUGAGAGGAUGAUCAGCAACACUGGGACUGAGACACGGCCCAGACUCCAACGGAGGCAGCAGUGGGGAAUAUUGCACAAGGGGCGCAAGCCUGAUACAGCCAUGCGGCGUGUAUGAAGAAGGCCUUAGGGUUGUAAAGUACUUUCAGCGGGGAGGCGUUACCCACAGAAGAAGCACCGGCUAACUCCGUGCCAGCAGCCGCGGUAAUAC